rnacentral:rRNA from 1 species
UACGUAGGGUGCAAGCGUUAAUCGGAAUUACUGGGCGUAAAGCGUGCGCAGGCGGUUUUGUAAGUCUGUCGUGAAAGCCCCGAGCUUAACUUGGGAAUGGCAUUGGAAACUGGCGGGCUGGAGUGCGGCAGAGGGGGGUGGAAUUCCACGUGUAGCAGUGAAAUGCGUAGAGAUGUGGAGGAACACCGAUGGCGAAGGCAGCCCCCUGGGCCGACACUGACGCUCAGGCACGAAAGCGUGGGGAGCAAACAGG